GUCCUUGCCGUAAACGAUGUAUACUUGAUGUAAUUGGACUCAACCCCGAUUGUGUCGAAGCUAACGCGAUAAGUAUACCGCCUGAGGAGUACACUCGCAAGGGUGAAACUCAAAAGAAUUGACGGGGGCCCGCACAAGCAGUGGAGCAUGUGGUUUAAUUCGAUGCUACGCGAAGAACCUUACCCAGGCUCGAAAUACAGGAGACAACCUUUGAAAGAAGGCUUCUCGCAAGAGCUGCUGUAUAGGUGCUGCAUGGCUGUCGU
rnacentral:rRNA from 1 species